rnacentral:misc_RNA from 1 species
AAGUCGUAACAAGGUUUCCGUAGGUGAACCUGCGGAAGGAUCAUUAAUGAAAUGAUUUUUUUUUGGGGUUUUUUAACCUCAAAAAAUAAUUCACCUCUUGUGCACUGUUAUAAGAUAUACUUUGGUUAGAGCUUUGAUUUCAUUUAAUGGAAUCAACUUCUUGCUGACUCUAUCCUUUCUGAGGACAGUUGGCUAUGAAGCGGCCUACCAAGGUUUUUUAUCAAACACAUUUAAUUUAUCUGACCUAAAUCAUUAUAAUAAAAUCAUAACUUUCAACAACGGAUCUCUUGGCUCUC